rnacentral:tRNA from 5 species
ACCCCUUUCAUUCUGGGGUGACGGAGGGAUCAUACCAUUCGACCCUUGCGAACAGCUUGAUGCACUAUCUCCCUUCA